UACGUAGGGCGCAAGCGUUAUCCGGAAUUAUUGGGCGUAAAGAGCUCGUAGGCGGUUUGUCGCGUCUGCCGUGAAAGUCCGGGGCUCAACUCCGGAUCUGCGGUGGGUACGGGCAGACUAGAGUGAUGUAGGGGAGACUGGAAUUCCUGGUGUAGCGGUGAAAUGCGCAGAUAUCAGGAGGAACACCGGUGGCGAAGGCGCCACUCUGGGCCGAGACUGACGCUGAGGAGCGAAAGCGUGGGUAGCAAACAGG
rnacentral:rRNA from 1 species